rnacentral:rRNA from 1 species
GACGAACGCUGGCGGCGUGCUUAACACAUGCAAGUCGAACGGAAAGGCCCUGCUUUUGUGGGGUGCUCGAGUGGCGAACGGGUGAGUAACACGUGAGUAACCUGCCCUUGACUUUGGGAUAACUUCAGGAAACUGGGGCUAAUACCGGAUAGGAGCUCCUGCUGCAUGGUGUGGGUUGGAAAGUUUCGGCGGUUGGGGAUGGACUCGCGGCUUAUCAGCUUGUUGGUGGGGUAGUGGCUUACCAAGGCUUUGACGGGUAGCCGGCCUGAGAGGGUGACCGGCCACAUUGGGACUGAGAUACGGCCCAGACUCCUACGGGAGGCAGCAGUGGGGAAUAUUGCACAAUGGGCGGAAGCCUGAUGCAGAAACGCCGCGUGCGGGAUGACGGCCUUCGGGUUGUAAACCGCUUUCGCCUGUGACGAAGCGUGAGUGACGGUAAUGGGUAAAGAAGCACCGGCUAACUACGUG